rnacentral:rRNA from 1 species
UACGAGGGGGGCGAGCGUUGUUCGGAAUUACUGGGCGUAAAGCGUGCGCAGGCGGUUCUAUAAGACAGAUGUGAAAUCCCCGGGCUCAACCUGGGAACUGCAUUUGUGACUGCAAGGCUAGAGUACGGUAGAGGGGGAUGGAAUUCCGCGUGUAGCAGUGAAAUGCGUAGAUAUGCGGAGGAACACCGAUGGCGAAGGCAAUCCCCUGGACCUGUACUGACGCUCAUGCACGAAAGCGUGGGGAGCAAACAGG